rnacentral:rRNA from 1 species
GACGAACGCUGGCGGCGUGCUUAACACAUGCAAGUCGAACGGUGACGAGGAGCUUGCUCCUCCGAUCAGUGGCGAACGGGUGAGUAACACGUGAGUAACCUGCCCCAGACCCUGGGAUAACAGUUGGAAACAGCUGCUAAUACCGGAUACGAGACGGAGAGGCAUCUCUACCGUCUGGAAAGAUUUAUCGGUCUGGGAUGGACUCGCGGCCUAUCAGCUUGUUGGUGAGGUAAAGGCUCACCAAGGCGACGACGGGUAGCCGGCCUGAGAGGGCGACCGGCCACACUGGGACUGAGACACGGCCCAGACUCCUACGGGAGGCAGCAGUGGGGAAUAUUGCACAAUGGGCGAAAGUCUGAUGCAGCGACGCCGCGUGAGGGAUGACGGCCUUCGGGUUGUAAACCGUACUUUCUAGCAGGAGAAGCGAAAGUGACGGUACCUGCAGAAGAAGCACCGGCGUAACUACGUAGCCAGCAGCCGCGGUAA